rnacentral:lncRNA from 1 species
AUGGGGAGGACAGAAGGGGGAUGGAGUGGGAAGGUGAUCUUCCCCUGGAGUCUGGCCACCCGCAGCCAAAUUCCGUGUUGUCCUGCCUUUCAUGGCUCGCCGGAGUCCACUGGUGCCUGUCAGUGUGCUCUUCCGAUUUGACAAGUUUGAAUUGAGAUGUGCUGGAAGUACAAAAUACACACUGAAUUUUGAAGACUUAGUAUGAAAUAAAGAAUGUAAAAAACCCCACAAACACUUUUCUAUUGAUUACAUAUUGAAAUAAUAUUUUGCACAUAUUGGGUUAAAGUACAUUAUUAAAAUUAAUAUCAUUGUUUUUUACUUUUUAAAAGGUGACUCAAAUUUAAAAUGUAAAUUUUUAAAACUUUGAUAAUGUGGCUCACAUUAUAUUUCUAUUAGACAGAUUGCUCUUUCUGGAGGCUGUGAUUGUGGGGGCUCAGGACUGGGGGUGAAGCCAUCUUUAAGAAGACAUUCCACUGAGCAAGCUAAUAAAGCUCUUUGAAUUCCUUGCUCAUCAUAAUCUUUAAGAUUUAAUUUUAAUGACCACAGGAGGGAACUUUGGAUUUCACUUAUCAAUAUAAGAAAAUGUUUUAAGCUGGUAAUUGUUUUGCAUCUCAGAUGAAACUAAUUUUCCUUGACAGGAAGCUGAGAGGCUUUCUAUUCCUCCAUGUGGUACUAAUGGCCUAGGGAAGAACACGAGUUUUAGAAUGGAAGAUUUGAACCUCAGCUUCCUCUUCUAGCUGUGUGACUUUAGGCAAAAUAUUUUUGCUUUUUGGAAUCUUAGUUUGUUUAUCUGAAUAAAGGGACACUAAUAUCUACAGAGUUGAAUAUCUUUGCCCUCUGGUUACAGUCUUUAUCCUCUCUACUUUGUUCUGUGCUCUGGUGGGAUGACCUAUGAAUGACACCAAAGGGUUCUCUUGACCAUUGGUUUCAGGUUGAGUUUGGACCUGAAACUCCCUACUCUCUUGAGUAGGGCUGUGCACCUACAUGACAUCAAAAUUCUGGGAGAGAAGUAUAUGAAUGGAUUUCUUUGGAGUGAGCACAGAUAUUUGUGUACUGUGUUAAUGUCC